UACGUAGGGGGCUAGCGUUGUCCGGAAUCAUUGGGCGUAAAGCGCGUGUAGGCGGUCCGGUAAGUCCGCUGUGAAAGUCGGGGGCUCAACCCUCGAAUGCCGGUGGAUACUGUCGGGCUAGAGUACGGAAGAGGCGAGUGGAAUUCCUGGUGUAGCGGUGAAAUGCGCAGAUAUCAGGAGGAACACCAAUUGCGAAGGCAGCUCUCUGGACCGUUACUGACGCUGAGGCGCGAAAGCGUGGGGAGCAAACAGG
rnacentral:rRNA from 1 species